GAUGAACGCUGGCGGCGUGCCUAAUACAUGCAAGUCGAGCGAACGGAUAAGGAGCUUGCUCCUUUGAAGUUAGCGGCGGACGGGUGAGUAACACGUGAGUAACCUACCUAUAAGACUGGAAUAACUUCGGGAAACCGGAGCUAAUGCCGGAUAACAUUUGGAACUGCAUGGUUCUAAAGUAAAAGAUGGUUUUGCUAUCACUUAUAGAUGGACCCGCGCCGUAUUAGCUAGUUGGUAAGGAUACGGCUUACCAAGGCAACGAUACGUAGCCGACCUGAGAGGGUGAUCGGCCACACUGGAACUGAGACACGGUCCAGACUCCUACGGGAGGCAGCAGUAGGGAAUCUUCCGCAAUGGACGAAAGUCUGACGGAGCAACGCCGCGUGAGUGAUGAAGGUUUUCGGAUCGUAAAACUCUGUUAUUAGGGAAGAACAAAUGUGUAAGUAACUGUGCACAUCGUGACGGUACCUAAUCAGAAAGCCACGGCUAACUACGUGCCAGCCGCCGCCGUAA
rnacentral:rRNA from 1 species